rnacentral:hammerhead_ribozyme from 1 species
AGCUGUCUGACGAGUCCCAAAUAGGACGAAAUGUGUAUCCGGGAU